ensembl:misc_RNA Metazoa_SRP Metazoan signal recognition particle RNA
GCUGGGCGUGGUGGCGUGUGCCUGUAGUCCCAGCUACUUGGGAGGCUGAGGCAGGAGAAUCGCUUGAACCCGGGAGGCAGAGGCUGCAGUGAGCCGAUAUCAUGCCACUGCACUCCAGCCUGGGUAACAGAGCGAGACUCUGUCUCAA